GCCGAAGCGCGUUCUGAUAUUGGGCGUAAGAGCUCGUAGGCGGUUUGUCGCGUCUGUCGUGAAAGUCCGGGGCUUAACCCCGGAUCUGCGGUGGGUACGGGCAGACUAGAGUGCAGUAGGGGAGACUGGAAUUCCUGGUGUAGCGGUGGAAUGCGCAGAUAUCAGGAGGAACACCGAUGGCGAAGGCAGGUCUCUGGGCUGUAACUGACGCUGAGGAGCGAAAGCAUGGGGAGCGAACAGGAUUAGAUACCCUGGUAGUCCAUGCCGUAAACGUUGGGCACUAGGUGUGGGGACCAUUCCACGGUUUCCGCGCCGCAGCUAACGCAUUAAGUGCCCCGCCUGGGGAGUACGGCCGCAAGGCUAAAACUCAAAGGAAUUGACGGGGGCCCGCACAAGCGGCGGAGCAUGCGGAUUAAUUCGAUGCAACGCGAAGAACCUUACCAAGGCUUGACAUGUUCUCGAUCGCCGUAGAGAUACGGUUUCCCCUUUGGGGCGGGUUCACAGGUGGUGCAUGGUUGUCGUCAGCUCGUGUCGUGAGAUGUUGGGUUAAGUCCCGCAACGAGCGCAACCCUCGUUCCAUGUUGCCAGCACGUCAUGGUGGGGACUCAUGGGAGACUGCCGGGGUCAACUCGGAGGAAGGUGAGGACGACGUCAAAUCAUCAUGCCCCUUAUGUCUUGGGCUUCACGCAUGCUACAAUGGCCGGUACAAUGGGUUGCGAUACUGUGAGGUGGAGCUAAUCCCAAAAAGCCGGUCUCAGUUCGGAUUGGGGUCUGCAACUCGACCCCAUGAAGUCGGAGUCGCUAGUAAUCGCAGAUCAGCAACGCUGCCGGUGAAUACGU
rnacentral:rRNA from 1 species